AUUCCAGCUCCAAUAGCGUAUAUUAAAGUUGUUGCAGUUAAAAAGCUCGUAGUUGGAUUCCUGGUUAGAGCGGCCGGUCUGGUCCGAAUGGGCUAGUACUUUGAGCUGUCUUUGACCUUCCUUUGGGAGAAUCUGUGUUGUUAUUAAUUUAGCAGUGCAGGGGACCCCAAUCGUUUACUGUGAAAAAAUUAGAGUGCUUAAAGCAGGCAUUUGCUGUGAAUACAUUAGCAUGGAAUAAUAAGAUAGGACUUUGGUGCUAUUUUGUUGGUUUGCACACCAAGGUAAUGAUUAACAGGGACAGUUGGGGGUAUUCGUAUUUAAUUGUCAGAGGUGAAAUUCAUGGAUUUAUGAAAGACGAACUACUGCGAAAGCAUUUACCAAGGAUGUUUUCAUUG
rnacentral:rRNA from 1 species